rnacentral:tRNA from 1 species
GGCUGGAUAGCUCAGUUGGUAGAGCACCCGAAUGGUAAUCUGGAGGUCGCAGGUUCAAACCCCGCUCCAGUCA